rnacentral:rRNA from 1 species
GACGAACGCUGGCGGCGUGCUUAACACAUGCAAGUCGUACGGUAAGGCCCUUUCGGGGGUACCCGAGUGGCGAACGGGUGAGUAACACGUGAGUAACCUGCCCACAACUUUGGGAUAACGCUAGGAAACUGGUGCUAAUACUGGAUAUGUGCUCCUGCUGCAUGGUGGGGGUUGGAAAGCUCCGGCGGUUGUGGAUGGACUCGCGGCCUAUCAGCUUGUUGGUGGGGUAGUGGCCUACCAAGGCGGCGACGGGUAGCCGGCCUGAGAGGGUGACCGGCCACAUUGGGACUGAGAUACGGCCCAGACUCCUACGGGAGGCAGCAGUGGGGAAUAGUGCACAAUGGGAGAAAGCCUGAUGCAGCAACGCCGCGUGCGGGAUGACGGCCUUCGGGUUGGAAACCGCUUUCAGCAGGGACGAAGCUUUUUGUGACGGUACCUGCAGAAGAAGCACCGGCUAACUACGUG